UACGAAGGGGGCUAGCGUUGCUCGGAAUCACUGGGCGUAAAGGUUGCGUAGGCGGGUCUUUAAGCCAGGGGUGAAAUCCUGGAGCUCAACUCCAGAACUGCCUUUGAUACUGAAGAUCUUGAGUUCGGGAGAGGUGAGUGGAACUGCGAGUGUAGAGGUGAAAUUCGUAGAUAUUCGCAAGAACACCAGUGGCGAAGGCGGCUCACUGGCCCGAUACUGACGCUGAGGCACGAAAGCGUGGGGAGCAAACAGG
rnacentral:rRNA from 1 species